rnacentral:rRNA from 1 species
AUUGAACGCUGGCGGCAGGCCUAACACAUGCAAGUCGAACGGAGUGGCGGACGGGUGAGUAAUGUAUGGGAAACUGCCUGAUGGAGGGGGAUAACUACUGGAAACGGGAGCUAAUACCGCAUACUAUCAGAUGUGCCCAGGUCGGAUUAGCUAGUUGGUGGGGUAAAGGCUUACAAAGGCGACGAUCCGUAACUGGUCUGAGCGGAUGAUCGGGCACACUGGAACUGAGACACGGUCCAGACUCCUACGGGAGGCAGCAGUGGGGAAUAUUGGACAAUGGGCGAAAGCCUGAUGCAGCCAUGCCGCGUGUGUGAAGAAGGUCUUCGGAUUGUAAAGCACUUUAAGUUGGGAGGCGUUACCCACAGAAUAAGCACCGGCUAACUUCGUGCCAGCAGCCGCGGUAAUAC